rnacentral:rRNA from 1 species
UCCUACAGGAGGCAGCAGUGGGGAAUAUUGCACAAUGGGCGAAAGCCUGAUGCAGCGACGCCGCGUGAGGGAUGACGGCCUUCGGGUUGUAAACCUCUUUCAGUAGGGAAGAAGCGAAAGUGACGGUACCUGCAGAAGAAGCACCGGCUAACUACGUGCCAGCAGCCGCGGUAAUACGUAGGGUGCGAGCGUUAUCCGGAAUUAUUGGGCGUAAAGAGCUCGUAGGCGGUUUGUCGCGUCUGUCGUGAAAGUCCGGGGCUUAACCCCGGAUCUGCGGUGGGUACGGGCAGACUAGAGUGCAGUAGGGGAGACUGGAAUUCCUGGUGUAGCGGUGGAAUGCGCAGAUAUCAGGAGGAACACCGAUGCCGAAGGCAGGUCUCUGGGCUGU